rnacentral:lncRNA from 1 species
CCUGCUCUGCGGCGACUGUCCGGCUCGUGAGCUCCGCGUGGAUCCGGCGCUGGGCCCCCUACGCUCUGGGGACCUGGGGUUGUGUUUCCGGCAAAGGAUGUUUUCCGAGAAGGCCUGGGAGCGGCUGUAAAUAAUACCCGAGAGGAAAUAGGCCCGGCAGGUGUUUUUGCGCGUCCCGGCGUUGGGUGUGGCUGCGGCGGGCGUGCAGGCCGCAGAUGAGGAAACAGACUAGGAGGGAUUUAGGCAUCUGGACUCUGCGGGGCGGCCCGGGCGCGCAGCCCGUUUCCCUGUGGGUUGAGGGCGCGGGAGAAGUGGGCGGCCCACCCCACCCCGCGCGUGGAUGCGGGGCUGGGGCAGGUCCGCGGUGGAGGCGCCGCCAGUGAGCACCCGGGGACCGCUCCUAGCCCCCAGUGUGGGACACAGACUCCCUGAGGACCUCGUAUGCGUUGGGUCUGUGGCUCCAUCCGAAUCUUCAUGAACAGGGCCUGCGGUGAAUUUGGGGAGAAGUGCUGGGAUUAAGGUGUGAGCUACCGUGGUAGAGAUGGGGUUUCGUCAUUUUGGCCAGGUUGGUCUCAAACUACUGACCUCAAGUGAUCCACCCGCCUUAGGCUCCCAAAGUGCUGGGAUUACAGACAUGAGCCACCGCCCGGCUUAGUAUUUUUUUUUUUCUGAGCCUCUUCCUCCUUCCACUCAAUGCAUCUAUUUUAGUGGAAUGGGUUCCUUUGUGAACAAUGAUGUUGCAGUUAUUCAUGAAGUAAUAAAGUGUUUGUGUAUUGAUU